rnacentral:lncRNA from 1 species
GUUUACUAUAAAAUGCGUACGACUACAAAACCAGGCAUUACACGAACAACACCGCUUCGAGUAACUCCAAUACAAUGGCUUCCAUCUUGAACCUAAGCCUGAUUGCCCUGGCGGUGAUGAUGAUGGCGGCUGGCGCCAUUGCUGAUCCUGAUCCUAAACCUUUCCCUGCGCCUGGCAAAGGCAAAGGCGGGGGCAAAGGAAAGGGCAAAGGACACUGAAUAAAGAAUGAUGACCUUAUAUAUUAUAGUUAGCCUUUCUUGCAACACGAUUUUAUCAGA